rnacentral:rRNA from 1 species
UAACACAUGCAAGUCGAACGAAGUAGCAAUACUUAGUGGCAGACGGGUGAGUAACAUGUAGGUAUCUGCCCUUUGGCCUGGAAUAACACGAGGAAACUUGUGCUAAUACCGGAUAAGUCUUUACAGAGAAAGCUUUAUGCACCAUUGGAUGAGCCUGCACUUGAUUAGUUUGUUGGUGGGGUAAUGGCCUACCAAGACUGUGAUCAAUAGCUGAUUUGAGAGGAUGAUCAGCCACAUUGGGACUGAGACACGGCCCAAACUCCUACGGGAGGCAGCAGUGGGGAAUCUUGCACAAUGGAGGAAACUCUGAUGCAGCGAUGCCGCGUGAGUGAAGAAGGCCCUUGGGUUGUAAAGCUCUUUCGUCGGGGAAGAAAAUGACUGUACCCGAAUAAGAAGGUCCGGCUAACUUCGUGCCAGCAGCCGCGGUAAUACGAAGGGACCUAGCGUAGUUCGGAAUUACUGGGCUUAAAGAGUUCGUAGGUGGUUGAAAAAGUUAGUGGUGAAAUCCCAGAGCUUAACUCUGGAACUGCCAUUAAAACUUUUUAGCUAGAGUAUGAUAGAGGAAAGCAGAAUUUCUAGUGUAGAGGUGAAAUUCGUAGAUAUUAGAAAGAAUACCAAUUGCGAAGGCAGCUUUCUGGAUCAUUACUGACACUGAGGAACGAAAGCAUGGGUAGCGAAGAGGAUUAGAUACCCUCGUAGUCCAUGCCGUAAACGAUGUGUGUUAGACGUUGGAAAUUUAUUUUCAGUGUCGCAGCGAAAGCGAUAAACACACCGCCUGGGGAGUACGACCGCAAGGUUAAAACUCAAAUGAAUUGACGGGGACCCGCACAAGUAGUGGAGCAUGUGGUUUAAUUCGAAGAUACGCGCAGAACCUUACCAACACUUGACAUGUUCGUCGCGACUCUAAGAGAUUAGAGUUUUCGGUUCGGCCGGACGAAACACAGGUGCUGCAUGGCUGUCGUCAGCUCGUGUCGUGAGAUGUUGGGUUAAGUCCCGCAACGAGCGCAACCCUCACUUUUAGUUGCCAUCAUUAAGUUGGGCACUCUGAAAGAACUGCCAGUGAUAAGCUGGAGGAAGGUGGGGAUGACGUCAAGUCCUCAUGGCCCUUACGUGUUGGGCUACACACGUGCUACAAUGGUAUCUACAACAGGAAGCAAGACUGCGAAGUUAAGCAAAUCCCUAAAAGAUACCUCAGUUCGGAUUGCACUCUGCAACUCGAGUGCAUGAAGCUGGAAUUACUAGUAAUCGUGGAUCAGCGUGCCACGGUGAAUGCGUUCCCGGCUCUUGUACACACCGCCCGUCACACCAUGGGAGUUGGUUCUACCUUAAGGCAAGGUUUUAAACCCUUGACCACGGUAUAGUCAGCGACUGGGGUG